rnacentral:rRNA from 1 species
UACGGAGGGAGCUAGCGUUGUUCGGAAUUACUGGGCGUAAAGAGCACGUAGGCGGUUUAGUAAGUUGGAAGUGAAAUCCCAAGGCUUAACCUUGGAACUGCUUUCAAAACUGCUAAUCUAGAGAUCGAUAGGGGAUAGUAGAAUUCCUAGUGUAGAGGUGAAAUUCUUAGAUAUUAGGAGGAAUACCGGUGGCGAAGGCGGCUAUCUGGAUCGAUACUGACGCUGAGGUGCGAAAGCGUGGGGAGCAAACAGG